GGAAGCGUGCCCGAAAGUUAGGGACCUCCUUGAUAGGGAGGGUAAU
rnacentral:tRNA from 1 species